rnacentral:rRNA from 1 species
CCUACGGGAGGCAGCAGUGGGGAAUCUUGCACAAUGGGGGCAACCCUGAUGCAGCGACACCGCGUGAGUGAAGAAGGAUUUCGGUAUGUAAAGCUCUAUCAGCAGGGAAGAAGAAAGACGGUACCUGACUAAGAAGCCCCGGCUAACUACGUGCCAGCAGCCGCGGUAAUACGUAGGUGGCAAGCGUUAUCCGGAUUUACUGGGUGUAAAGGGAGCGUAGACGGCUGUGCAAGUCUGAAGUGAAAGCCCAGGGCUCAACCCUGGGACUGCAUUGGAAACUGUGGAGCUAGAGUGCUGGAGAGGUAAGUGGAAUUCCUAGUGUAGCGGUGGAAUGCGUAGAUAUUAGGAGGAACACCAGUGGCGAAGGCGGCUUACUGGACAGUAACUGACGUUGAGGCUCGAAAGCGUGGGGAGCGAACAGGAUUAGAUACCCGAGUAGUC